rnacentral:lncRNA from 1 species
GUGACCCCGGGAAUGUCCCCAAGGUGACCCCGAGGUGACCCUGGGAAUGGCCCCAAGGUGUCCCCAGAGUGACCCCAGGAAUAUCCCCAAGGUGUCCCCAAGGUGUCCCCAGGAGUGACCCUGAGGUGACCCCAGGAAUGACCCUGAGGUGACCCCAGAGUGACCCUGGGAGUGACCCUGAGGUGACCCCAGAGGUGUCCCCAAGGUGUCCCCAAUGUGACCCGGAGGUGUCCCCAGGAAUGUCCCCAAGGUGUCCCCAGGGGUUUCAUACAGGACCGGGUCCCUCCACCCCACAACUGCCACCCCCCACACCUGGGGGGACAAUUCUGGGUGUCCCCAAAUUCUGGGUGUCCCCAAAUUCCGGGUGUCUCCAAAUUCUGGGUGUCCCAAAAUUCUGGGUGUCCCCAAAUCCAGGUGUCCCCAACCUUGGGGUGGCCCCUGGACAGGGUGGGGACACCGAGGGUCCAGAAGGGACCGGGACACUGGGCAGGGGUGUGGCACUGCUGUCCCCCCUCUAUCCCCUCUCUGUCCCCUCCUGUCCCCUCUCUGUCCCCACCUCUGUCCCCCCUCCUGUCCCCUCUGUCCCCUCCUGUCCCCUCCUGUCCCCUCUCUGCCAGCCCGGGGACACGGGGACAGGACCGAGGGGACAUCUGACCCCAUAAAGUGCAAACUGGGACGGCCCCGGGAUGGGGACAGGGACAAACUGGGAGGGGACACUGGGGGUGGCACCUGGGGGUGGCCAUGGCUGGGAUCACCUGGGGACAUCGAGGUCACCACCGGGAUCAUUGAGGGGACAUUGAGGUCACCAUGGCUGGGAACACCUGGGGACAUUGAGGUCACCACUGGGAACACCUGGGGACAUCGAGGUCACCACCGGGAUCACCUGGGGACAUUGAGGCCACCAUGGCUGGGAUCACCUGGGGACAUCGAGGUCACCACUGGGAACACCUGGGGACAUCGAGGUCACCACUGGGAUCACCUGGGGACAUUGAGGUCACCACUGGGAUCACCUGGGGAUGUCACCUGUGGGGUGACCACAGCCAGGAUGACCAUGGGGACAUGGCCGUGGGGUGACCACAAGGCCAUCACCAUGGGGUGACCACAGCCAGGAUAACCACGGGGACAUGGCCGUGGGGUGACCAUGGCCAAGGUCACUUAGGGGACAUCACCUGGAGAUGACCACGACCAGG